rnacentral:rRNA from 1 species
CCUACGGGGCGCUGCAGUGGGGGAUAUUGCACAAUGGGGGAAACCCUGAUGCAGCGACGCCGCGUGGGUGAAGAAGUAUUUCGGUAUGUAAAGCCCUAUCAGCAGGGAAGAAAGAAGACGGUACCUGACUAAGAAGCCCCGGCUAACUACGUGCCAGCAGCCGCGGUAAUACGUAGGGGGCGAGCGUUAUCCGGAUUCACUGGGUGUAAAGGGAGCGUAGACGGCCGUGCAAGCCAGGAGUGAAAGCCCGGGGCCCAACCCCGGGACUGCUCUUGGAACUGUGCGGCUGGAGUGCGGGAGGGGCAGGCGGAAGUCCUGGUGUAGCGGUGAAAUGCGUAGAUAUCAGGAGGAACACCGGCGGCGAAGGCGGCCUGCUGGACCGCGACUGACGUUGAGGCUCGAAAGCGUGGGGAGCGAACAGGAUUAGAUACCCUUGUAGUC